UCAGCUGCCAAAAAUUAUAGAAAAACAGGGUUUGCAUCUUGGGCUAUGUGGUAUGAUCCCCACAAAUGAAGUAAAAGAAAAAACAGCAAGUCAAUCUUACCUCCUUAACUACAAGUCCUAUCUCAAAUCUAAAAUCCAGAAGGAAGAACACUGUACUAUUCCUGGGGACAAUAACACCCAUGGCAACCACAAAACAGAACACCAGCCCCUCACCAGCGGAAGCCACUUCCCAUGGGGCCUGGCACGGGAGGGCGCCCACUGAAACUGCAGCUGGAAACACAGACAGAUGGGGGGACAGCAGUCUGGCAGGUGGUCGCCAGGGCAGACCACCACAGACAGGAAGAAGCCGUGUGUUCCAGGCCCCCUGCAGCUCAUUUCAAUGUCAAUUUGCUGUGGAAACUAAAAGACUGAAAGAGAAGCCAAAUCUCUUGCCCAAAGUCAUAUGGCUGGCAAGGGGGAGAAACUGGAUAUGAAGCUGGGUGGGUGACAGGGAAAUGCGCAUGGGAGAAAUGGACCACAGAAGAGCCAGGCAAAUGAUGAACCCAAACAACGAAAAUACAAGCCAUUAAAACCAAUUAGGCAAAAGCACACUCCGCACAGCAGCAGACUCAGAGGAGAGAAGAGGAGGCCCUCCACAUUGCUCCUCAGUAGCUGCAUGAGUGUCCCCAGGGGUGUUCAGGACAACCCCAUACCUGGGAAGUGGUUGUGGAGAAAAGCUCCUUCCUCUCCUUGCCGUGGUCCUGCAGGCGCCGCUGCCGGUGCUGUGA